CUUAGUACGGCGAGCGAAGUGGGAACCGGUGCCCAGGUCUGAAAUCUCCGUCCCGACCCUGAGGGAUGGCGAAUUGUGGUCUGGAGAGACGGACUGUUCCGAUUGUCACUGCUCCUCGGCCCAAAGUCGACUUGGAACGGCGCGCCACAGAGGGUGAGAGCCCCGUAGGGCCUAGAAAUGGGAAGCGGCGGGACGAGGGUCCGUUCUCGUAGAGUCGGGUUGUUUGGGAGUGCAGCCCAAAUCGGGUGGUAGACUCCAUCCAAGGCUGAAUACAAGCGUGGGUCCGAUAGCGGACAAGUACCGUGAGGGAAAGGUGAAAAGCACUUUGAAGAGAGAGUUCAAUAGAGCGUGAAACCGUUGGGAGGGAAGCUCAGGGCCCCGAGGCGGUUGGGGCGUCGGUGCUCAGGCGGGCUGCUCUCGGGCAGGCCGUCGCAUUUGCCGUCGCCUUGUGGAAACCGUCAGCGAGAGGAGAGCUCGCCUGUUCCGCCAGGUGGAGGAGGUGGCAAGGGCUCGGUUUACCGGGCUUUUGUUCGUACAGCUCCUGCCUGUCGGCUGGCGUGGCGAUCCUCGGGUGCGAAUGUUGAGGACGUCGCUUCGUCCGAUUGGGAAAAGGUGCGGACCUCCCUCGGGAGGUGCGGAGGCGGUGUUGGGGACUCGUGAAGCGAGUGGAAGGGUGCUCUCGGGUCCUGUCUCACGGCAGCGGCUUCGACGGGCAACUUUGCUCGUUAUCCGGGCUCUCUGGCGUCGCGCUCAUGCUGCCGUGCCUCGGUCGCUGGCGUUGAGUCGGUUCCCUGUGCCCCGUCUUGAAACACGGACCAAGGAGUGCAAGAGGCUUGCGAGCCUUCGGGAGACGUCGGGGCUUCGGUCUCGGCGGUCGGGUAAACCCGAAGAGGCGUAGUGAGAGCGAGUGCCGAGCGAUCGGCCGGUGCGAGAACCAGGCGGAGACGUCAGGUGCAUCGCGAACCGAGCCUUAUGGUCACGCCGUGGCCGGCUUCGAGUGGGAGCGAGUCUGUUGCGACCCGAAAGAUGGUGAACUAUGCCCGAGCAGGGCGAAGCCAGGGGAAACUCUGGUGGAGGCCCGCAGCGGUUCUGACGUGCAAAUCGAUCGUGAGACUUGGGUAUAGGGCGAAAGACUA
rnacentral:rRNA from 1 species